rnacentral:sRNA from 1 species
UAUUGCAUUUAAUGUGGGAUAUAGGUGCAUUUUGCUGAAGUAAGAGAACCUGAGACCAACUAAGAUUUUAAGAUGGCUCUGAAGGUACUUGUCUAGUUCAUUAGGUUGCAAUGUUCCUCUUUAUUUGCCUGUUUCUAAUUUUCUAGUCUUCCUCUGCUUUUCUCCAAUCUCAGUUUCUCCACCAAAUAACAUUCUGAUUAUCUCUGCAUGUAUAUAUGUAUUUUAUCAUUUCUAGAAUGAGGAUUUUUCACAUUUCAUCAUCUCUAAAAUUGUGAUGCAUCUUACAAAUUGAUGGAAUAUCUUAUUAGAAGCAUUUUUAUCUUAGCAUUUCAUAAGAUAAUGCUGCAGCUUACGGUGGACAGUGUCUUAGAUCUGAUGGGAUGUAAGAUAUCUGCAUCAGAAGAUAUGAACUUCUUGGAGCUGGCUAGGUGCCUUUUUCUUUUUUCCCAUCUACCUUUGGCUUCGGUUUCUUCUUAAUAAUAUUUGUUUCAUCUUUCUAGUUUAAAAAUCAUUCUGCUCUCUUUGCCCCUUUUUCUCAUUUCUUCUGCCUGCUUUCCUGUUCCCCUUUUUCAUCUCCUCUAUCCUCCUUUGGUUUCUUAAAGUCUGACCAAGUUCCCAGGGCCUUUUCUGAUCAGAGCUCUUUUUUUAAAGGCCUUACAGCCUGAUGGUGGUGCCACCCGACAAGGUGAAUCCCGAGCACUACAUCUUCUCUCCCUUUGGGAUCUUGCAUGUACAUCCUGUGGAAGGUAGCGAGACGAUGACACUGGGUACCUGGCACCAUCACUGUGUUCUCUGGCAGCAGCUCCAGUUCAUUCCAUUCUUUAAGUAUUGCCUCUUACGCAAGUCCUUUACCUGGUAGGUAAUGACGGAUAUGUGAUUUGGGGGGAAAUGGAUGACAGCAACGGUAUAUUAUCACUGACCUCUAAUUUCUAGUUGGAAGAAGAAUGUGAGAUUACAGGGGCUGCAUCGACUCCAGAAAUUCCUAGAGAAUCAUCUGCUCUUGGCUGUGCCCCACUUUGGAGCUGGGCUACUACAUAUUAGCAGGCUUCUGCAGGAGCUACACUCUGUGUCCUGGCUACCCCAGGAGCUGGAUCGGUGCUAUGAGCUGCUGGACCUGCAGAAAGCUCUAGCCAAGGAGAAACAUAAGGCUCUACGGCUGCUCCAUCGUUGCCUAAACCUCUGCACAUCCAUUCUUCGACUGGUUCACGAGGACACAUACCACAUGCAACAGGGCCUACAAGAGCGAGUGCAAAACUGCGAUAGGAUCAGGACAGGCCAAGGCUCCAUAUACCUUCAGAGGGUACAGCGCAAGCAACUGGAGCAGAAGCUGAAGCAAGCAGAGGCCUGGUGGCUGCAGCUGGGAAAGUUUGCCCGCCUGGUCAACUACAUGAUUUGUCAGAGCCUCAUUUCUGUCUUGGAGGAGCAGAUAACCUCUUUUGUGGCCAACAUCAUUCAAGCCCCAAGGCAGAAACCCUUUCUCUCAUCACAGCUAGUCUUUGAUGAUCAUGGCCAACUGUCUCAUGUACCCUGUGUUGAAAAUAUGAUCCAGACUCUAACUGGAGGCCUACAGUCUGUCAAGACCUCUGCCUUGCAGGUAUUCUGGAUUGGGCAGAGAGCUGGCUGUGGGAAUUCCCAGUUCCUAUCCUCUGAGUAAUCAGAAGCUCACAACCUGGUUUGAAUCCCUCAUUGCUUUCCCAUUUCUGCUCCUUCUCCAUAUCCUGGCAUGAAGGUAGUGCAGUCUGCAGACCUGAAGACCUCCUCGGAUUCCCUGUAUUCUGAAGGUAUUUAGGGAGACCUAGGCAGGGGGUAGGAAGGCUGAAGGAGGGAAAGGGCACAAGCACGAAUGGCAUGGGAAGAAGGCAGGAGGUCCAGGCUAUAGAGUCAGGCAUCGGGUGUGGAUGGAGCAGCUCUAACCUGGGUACUGCACAUAUGUGUUAUGGGUAGAAGGGUCAGGGAGUGUUUUUGCUCACAAAUUCACGUGGUUAUGUGUAUGUGCGUGCAAUGAGAGGGUGUAUGAAAGAGUGUGAGUACAUUGUCCUUCCAAACCUGGUUCAUCCAAAACUCUGUGAGGUUUUUCUCCAGUGCCAUAAUUGCAUUUCAUUUACUACUGAAUUUUAUUGCUAAGUAAAUUUGUACUUGUUUGAAGAGCUCUGCUUGCUCAACACUUGCUUUAUGUCAUAUAGCUCUUUUUCAUUUCAUAUGGAUUAAUUCAUCAUAUUGAAAUAUUUUAUGGUUACCAAUUAUUAUUGGUUAUCAAUCUUCACACUUAUUAACCAUCAGCGUGGAAAUACAUCUUCACAUUUCCCUUAUUUAGGAUACUAAUGCUGUCACAAAUAAAAUCAUUAAAUGC